UGUUUCGGCUAGGGGGUCAUCCCGACUUACCAACCCGAUGCAAACUACGAAUACCGAAGAAUGUUAUCACGGGAGACACACGGCGGGUGCUAACGUCCGUCGUGAAGAGGGAAACAACCCAGACCGCCAGCUAAGGUCCCAAAGUCAUGGUUAAGUGGGAAACGAUGUGGGAAGGCCCAGACAGCCAGGAUGUUGGCUUAGAAGCAGCCAUCAUUUAAAGAAAGCGUAAUAGCUCACUGGUCGAGUCGGCCUGCGCGGAAGAUGUAACGGGGCUAAACCAUGCACCGAAGCUGCGGCAGCGACACUAUGUGUUGUUGGGUAGGGGAGCGUUCUGUAAGCCGUUGAAGGUGGCCUGUGAGGGUUGCUGGAGGUAUCAGAAGUGCGAAUGCUGACAUAAGUAACGAUAAUGCGGGUGAAAAACCCGCACGCCGGAAGACCAAGGGUUCCUGUCCAACGUUAAUCGGGGCAGGGUGAGUCGACCCCUAAGGCGAGGCCGAAAGGCGUAGUCGAUGGGAAACAGGUU
rnacentral:rRNA from 1 species